UACGGUGGGUGCGAGCGUUGUCCGGAAUCACUGGGCGUAAAGGGCGCGUAGGCGGCCCGGUAAGUAGGGGGGUGAAAUCUUGCGGCUUAACCGCAAGGCUGCCUUCUAAACCGCCAGGCUCGAGCACAGUAGAGGCAGGCGGAAUUCCCGGUGUAGCGGUGGAAUGCGUAGAGAUCGGGAAGAACAUCGGUGGCGAAGGCGGCCUGCUGGGCUGUUGCUGACGCUGAGGCGCGACAGCGUGGGGGAGCAAACAGG
rnacentral:rRNA from 1 species